GGUCUUUUAGUAUAAUGGUAGUACAUUAUCCCUUCACGAUAAUAGUACCAGUUCAAAUCUGGUAAAGACUA
rnacentral:tRNA from 1 species